rnacentral:rRNA from 1 species
ACGAACGCUGGCGGCGUGCCUAAUACAUGCAAGUCGAGCGGAAUGAUGAAGAAGCUUGCUUCUUCUGAUUUUAGCGGCGGACGGGUGAGUAACACGUGGGCAACCUACCUUGUAGAUUGGGAUAACUCCGGGAAACCGGGGCUAAUACCGAAUAAUCCAUUUUGCUUCAUGGCGAGAUGUUGAAAGACGGUUUCGGCUGUCACUACAAGAUGGGCCCGCGGCGCAUUAGCUAGUUGGUAGGGUAAUGGCCUACCAAGGCGACGAUGCGUAGCCGACCUGAGAGGGCGAUCGGCCACACUGGGACUGAGACACGGCCCAGACUCCUACGGGAGGCAGCAGUAGGGAAUCUUCCACAAUGGACGAAAGUCUGAUGGAGCAACGCCGCGUGAGUGAAGAAGGUUUUCGGAUCGUAAAACUCUGUUGUAAGGGAAGAACACGUACGAGAGUAACUGCUCGUACCUUGACGGUACCUUAUUAGAAAGCCACGGCUAACUACGUG